rnacentral:rRNA from 1 species
CCUACGGGGGGCAGCAGUGGGGAAUAUUGGACAAUGGGGGCAACCCUGAUCCAGCCAUGCCGCGUGUGUGAAGAAGGCCCUCGGGUUGUAAAGCACUUUCAGUGAGGAAGAACGCCUGGUGGUUAAUACCCAUCAGGAAAGACAUCACUCACAGAAGAAGCACCGGCUAACUCCGUGCCAGCAGCCGCGGUAAUACGGAGGGUGCGAGCGUUAAUCGGAAUUACUGGGCGUAAAGCGCGCGUAGGUGGCUUGAUAAGCCGGUUGUGAAAGCCACGGGCUCAACCUGGGAACGGCAUCCGGAACUGUCAAGCUAGAGUGCAGGAGAGGAAGGUAGAAUUCCCGGUGUAGCGGUGAAAUGCGUAGAGAUCGGGAGGAAUACCAGUGGCGAAGGCGGCCUUCUGGACUGACACUGACACUGAGGUGCGAAAGCGUGGGUAGCAAACAGGAUUAGAUACCCCAGUAGUC